GGAUAACUACUGGAAACGGUAGCUAAUACCGCAUAACGUCGCAAGACCAAAGAGGGGGACCUUCGGGCCUCUUGCCAUCAGAUGUGCCCAGAUGGGAUUAGCUAGUAGGUGGGGUAACGGCUCACCUAGGCGACGAUCCCUAGCUGGUCUGAGAGGAUGACCAGCCACACUGGAACUGAGACACGGUCCAUGACUCCUACGGGAGGCAGCAGUGGGGAAUAUUGCACAAUGGGCGCAAGCCUGAUGCAGCCAUGCCGCGUGUAUGAAGAAGGCCUUCGGGUUGUAAAGUACUUUCAGCGAGGAGGAAGGCAUUGUGGUUAAUAACCACAGUGAUUGACGUUACUCGCAGAAGAAGCACCGGCUAACUCCGUGCCAGCAGCCGCGGUAAUACGGAGGGUGCAAGCGUUAAUCGGAAUUACUGGGCGUAAAGCGCACGCAGGCGGUCUGUCAAGUCGGAUGUGAAAUCCCCGGGCUCAACCUGGGAACUGCAUUCGAAACUGGCAGGCUAGAGUCUUGUAGAGGGGGGUAGAAUUCCAGGUGUAGCGGUGAAAUGCGUAGAGAUCUGGAGGAAUACCGGUGGCGAAGGCGGCCCCCUGGACAAAGACUGACGCUCAGGUGCGAAAGCGUGGGGAGCAAACAGGAUUAGAUACC
rnacentral:rRNA from 1 species